GUGAACUGUUGCACAGGAGAGACCUGUAAGAGGUUCUCACUCUGUAUUUAAAGGGCCCGGGAGCUGCAGGAAGACAGUGUUUCUGCCUCUUCUAAGUGGCAUGUAUGAAGAGACACCUGAUUUAGCAGCUCUGACAGCCCACAGGAAACUUGACCCAGACAGAAACAGAAUGUGAAAUAACAGGAGCUCUCAUCCUUGAAUUUUAAAAAGAGGAGUAGGGGACUAAGAAUUCUGAGUGUCCCUGGUAGCAAGGCAUCAUUUGUGGUCCAAUUACCUCUUGGAUUGGAUUUAACAGAGCUCAGACCAACUCCCUGUUUUGUGUGGUCCAGAUCUGUUCUACAUUAAAAACUCACACAUUCUCUAGCCCAUUAUCUUGUAAUAUGAAGGUAGUUAUUUCCUUAAUGGAAAGCAAUUCGAGUUUUCUGUGCUGCCCCUGAGACAUCACGGAUUGAACUCAGACGCCAGAGAACACUUCUGAAGUCCUCUGAGAAAGCUUCUGGAAGCACCCUUCACCAGACGAGAGGACCAACAAGAAAAGCCAAACAUGCAUCCCUAACCAGUCGCAAAGAAUACGUGCUUUGCAUUAACCCGCCUAGACUUCCCCAUGCCAACGGCCUCCAAUCAGAAAAUGGGAGUUUCUCUCCACAAGCUCUCUUUUUGCCUGCCGCCAUCCACAUAACCUGAGCCUCCUUGCCUUCCACCUUGAUUGUGAGACCUCUCCUGUAAUGUUGAACUCCCUCAGAAAGAACCAACCCUGCUGACACCUGCUGCUGGUCCCUGGACUACAACGCUGUGACAAAGGUAUAAGUUUUUCUUCUCCACAUGAAGACUG